UCCAGAGGUGGCAAGCGUUGUUCGGAAUUACUGGGCGUAAAGGGCGCGUAGGCGGCCUUCUCAGUCAGACGUGAAAUCCCCCGGCUUAACCUGGGAACUGCGUCUGAUACUGGAAGGCUCGAGUAUGGGAGAGGGAUGUAGAAUUCCAGGUGUAGCGGUGAAAUGCGUAGAUAUCUGGAGGAAUACCGGUGGCGAAGGCGGCAUCCUGGACCAUUACUGACGCUGAGGCGCGAAAGCUAGGGGAGAAAACGGG
rnacentral:rRNA from 1 species